GUCUGAUAUGUGCUCACUGUGUGUGCACAGAAAACACUGUUAAACAACAAAAACAACAACGGAAAAUAAAACACCUGUAAAAAAAAUCUAUAUGGAAAACUCCUUUACAGUUAAGAGUAAACUGGCAAGACUUACAUACUUUCUACUUUCUACAUAAAGGUGGAUUUCUGAACCCAAGCUGCUGAAGAAGCUCCUGAUUGGAUAAAGCAAGGACUGGAAACAAUUAACUAUUUCAGCUCCAUCUGAAGAAACGUGAGCGAUUCACAGAGUUUUGUCUGGUUGGUGUUCAGAUGAUCUGCUGGAGAUAUGAGCAACUGAAGAUCAGCUAAACUCUCAAUGUUGCCAUUUGAUUUAAUUUCAACCAUGAGAGUUUAUGAGUCCAUCGUGGUUCACGAAACAACUCUCAACCUGCUGUUUAUCAGACUACCCAAUGGAAGUGCAAGAGGACAUACAACACCGGUUUCAAAACCACAUCAUUUCACAAAUGAAGAAGGAAAUGAAGUCAUUUCACAGACUCAAAUGAAUUUCACACAAAAACAAACUGGAGUCGACGGGUCUUUCACCUGUUCUGAGUUUGGAAAGAGUUACAGAGAUGAGAUAAACCUUAUGAAACACAUGAGAGUUCACACUGGAGAAAAGCUGUAACAGUGCUCUUCACGUCUCAUCAUCUACAGGCCGCUCAUAUGAAAAAGCAUGGUCCGAAGGCGUUUAACUAAACAAAGUUCACAUUUAGAUGCAUGACUUACAAGUUAUUUGACAUUCAGAUUAAUAAAAAAAAAAAGAUGGAAUUUGUUUGAAUAAAGUAAUCUAAGAGGGUGAUUUGCUAUGAUUAGUGGUGAAGUUUGAAUCUGUUGGAGAUUGCUCAAGCUCUGUCACAACCACAGUAACAUGAUCUACACGAUUCAGCUUUACUGAUCAUCAAACAUUGGUUUUUACAUUAAACAAUGUUUUUCUUUUUAUUCUGUUUUUGCUUAAAGGGAUAGUUCACUCAAAAAUGACAAUUGUGUCAUCAUUAAC